UGAGCACUGGCCAUGCCCUGCUGAGGGUGGCACAGGGUGACAGUGUGACAGUGCCUGUGGCACUGAGCCCUGGCCGUGCCAAUGACCUGGCCUGGCCUCGGCCUGUGGGGGUGCACAGGCACCUCCCCAAGGUUUUCACAGAUAGUUGGGGUCUG
rnacentral:lncRNA from 12 species